AUGAUUGCGAACACAAGAGUCACAUGUGGUGGGAGCCCGGCGGAGGAACCCGAGGGUCGCAGGAGAGCGGCGAAGCCGGCCCCUGCCGGCCGCACAGGCGCGGUCCAUAGGCUGCAGCGCAGGGUCCGAGGCCAGCUCUGCACCUGGAAUAUUUUGAAAACGAUUGCUCUGGGCCAGAUGCUGUCCUUGUGUAUAUGUGGGACAGCCAUCACCAGCCAGUAUUUGGCAGAAAGAUACAAAGUGAACACUCCCAUGCUUCAGAGCUUUAACUAUUGCUUGUUCCUCAUUCGUACUGUGAUGCUGGCAUUUCAACCAGGCAGUGAUAACCUUCUAGAAAUCUUCAGAAGAAAAUGGUGGAAGUAUAUUUAUAUUCUACUGGGACUAGCAGAUGUGGAAACAAAUUACCUGAUUGUCAGAGCCUACCAGUAUACGACUCUGACCAGCGUCCAGCUUUUGGACUGCUUCGGGAUUCCUGUGCUGAUGACUCUCUCGUGGUUUAUUCUUUAUGCGAGGUACAGAGUGAUCCACUUCAUUGCCGUGUCUGUCUGUUGGGCAUAGGAACCAUGGUUGGAGCAGACAUAUUUGCAAGGAAGGAACAAUUCAGGGAGUGAUGUGCUGAUUGGUGACAUCUUGGUGUUUCUUGGGGUGUCCCUUUACGCCGUUUCUAAUUUUUGGGAAGGAGACAUCUUGAAGAAGAUGAGCAGACAGGAGUUUUUAGGAAUGGUGGGCCUAUUUGGAACAGUUAUCAAUGACAUACAGCUAUUGAUUGUGGAGUAUAAGGAUAUUGCCAGCAUUCACUGGGACUGGAAAAUUGCCCGGCUGUUCAUGGCAUUUGCCCUCUGUAUGUUCUGCCUCUACACCUUCAUGCCGUUGGUGAUCAAAGUCACAAGUGCCACCUCUGUCAACCUGGGCAUCCUGACAGUGGACCUCUACAGCCUUUUCUUUGGACUGUUUCUGUUUGACUACAAGUUUUCGGGACUCUACAUCCUGUCCUUCGCCGUCAUCCUGGUGGGGUUCAGCCUCUACUGCUCCAUCCCAACGUGCACGGCGGAGCCAACUGGAAGCAGUGCGCCCGUCACCAGCAUUGGGAUCGAUAACCUGGGCCUGAAGCUCGAGGAGAACCUUCCAGAGACCCACUCUGCGGCCUUGUAG